AUCACUUCUUGGCCUUUUGGCUAAGAUCAAGUGUACUAUCUGUUCUUAUCAGUUUAAAAGGGAAGGAGAAAUAAAGACUUCCUCAGACAAACAAAAUUGAGGGAAUUUGUUUCCAGUAGACUUGCUUUGCAAGAAAUGUUUUUAAAAGUUCUUCAGAGAAAAAAAAAGUUUU
ensembl:snRNA U2 U2 spliceosomal RNA